CCUACGGGCGGCAGCAGUGGGGAAUAUUGCUCAAUGGGGGAAACCCUGAAGCAGCGACGCCGCGUGAGUGAUGAAGUUUUUCGGUAUGUAAAGCCCUAUUUGUAGGGAAGCAAAUGACGGUACCUGACUAAGAAGCACCGGCUAACUACGUGCCAGCAGCCGCGGGAAUACGGAGGGGGCAAGCGUUAAACGGAAUCACUGGGGGUAAAGGGCGCGUAGGCGGGAGUACAAGUCAGCGGUGAAAUCCUAGGGCUUAACCACGGAACUGCAUUUGAAACUGUGGGUCUAGAGUGGGGGAGAGGUAGGUGGAAUGCAUGGUGGAGCGGUAAAAUGCGUAGAGAUUAAGAGGAACAC
rnacentral:rRNA from 1 species